rnacentral:rRNA from 1 species
AUGGCCCUGGACCUCCAUGCUGGACCGCCGACCCGCGCCGGCCGGCCAUCGGAGCGCCGCCGCUGGACCAACACGCCGCCCUGCCCUCCUCUCCUUCUUCCCUCCCUUCCCUCUGGUUAUAUUUCUCACAUCCCCCUCUCUCUCCCCUUCAAAGGAAGCGGAAGCCAUGGCCGUUGGACCUCCAACUGGACCGCCACCCCAUGCCGGCCGGCCACCGGAGCGCCGCCGUCGGACCAACGCGGGUUGCCGCGCUGGACCGCAGCCUGGACGAAACUCCGGCGAGGCCAUGAGCUCCCGAGUCCCAACCCGGGCUUAGGAGCGUACGGGAGCGCCGUCGUGGAUCAUGCGCGUCCUAGGUCCGCCGAGGCCACGGGCUCCCAAGCCGGGCAUAGGUUCUGUAGGAAGCACAAGAAAGUGGGUAUGAAAGCUAUGAGACGAUGGCCAAUACAGAUAUUGACAGGGCUGGAAGUCCGGAGCCAACGAAUAUACAUAGCGACUUAA